UUGAAAAUACUCCCUUCGUCUCAUUUUAAGUGUACCUAUGAGUUUUCGUGUCCAACUUUAAUUAUCCGUCUUAUUUCAAUUUUUUUAUGAUUAGUAUUUUUAUUGUUAUUAGAUGAUAAAACAUGAAUAAUACUUUAUGUAUGACUUAUUAUUUUUUUAAAAAAAAUUUCAAACAAGAUAAAUGAUUAAAGUUGGACACGUAAACUCAUAGUUGUGUUUGAAAUGGGAGAGGGAGUAACA
rnacentral:pre_miRNA from 1 species